UGUUUGAGUAUGGGAUUUCUGAUUAUUUGGUAGUCACUGAACGCACCACUGUGCCUUGCGCAUAGCCACUCCCUAGUUUAGCCACAGAGUUUUUCCUCCGUUCGUCCGAUGAGGCGCAUGCUCCUCUCGUGCCCUCUGCGAGCUGGAAAUUCGGAGUCUUGUAGCGGUACGAGCGUGAAGCUGAGCUGAAUUCGACAGCCAUUCGCCAUUACAUGAACCCCUCUGGCUGGUUUGUUUGCCCUUUCGAUACCCUGGAUCCUACUGGAUGAACUGCCUUGUGGAAGUCCUCAUCUGAUGACUCCGCUGAGCCGUCCUGGCUAGUAGAUGGUCUUUGCUGAGGACGGAUGCUUCUGCUUGCUGGAUACUGUUAUUGGAUGCUACACCGUUCCAACAGAGCGGUAGGAACAAUUCAAAGGGCCCCAACAGUGCACUUUACUUUUCCCUGAGCUCAGGUGGUUUUCUUUUGGCCAAAGGACCUUGAAGGAUACAUAUUUGUGUUUAUUUUAUUUUUUUUCCUUGGGACACUGAGUGGAAAGACACUACAAAAAAAGGGCUUAUUAUUUAAAAUUGUGUUUAAUAAAUGUGUUUAUGUUAAGUGAGUGUGGUGUCCAUUGUGUGCUGGAAGCCUUACUGUUCCUGUGGUGGAGCAGCUACUACCAAUCUCCUUUACGAAACUAGCCUCUGAUGGGAUACAGAUAUUUGGGACACAUUUGAAUUCUUGUAACCUAUUUCUAGAGAAGCUGUGAUUCUGGGCCUAGACAUCGGGGUGAAAUUGAUGAUACUGACACCUAGUGAACUGCCCAAGGUCAACAGUCCUGAUUUCCAAGCAUUAAAGCAUUGGCCAUGCAACAUCCCAUCUGCUCGAGACUGCAGAUGGAACAAAUACCUGCAGCCUUCAGACGUCUGUGGAGAACUGCAAAUAUCAAGACGCAAACUUCACUUUAGCUCUCUAACUGUUGUGGAUUACAGAACUGACAUGCGGACACAACAGAGAAACUUCUUCUAUUUGGCCAUCGUCUUCUAUCUGUCUACAUCUGCACCUGCUGAAGAUGCUCAGAUAAGAUUAAUGGACCCUGAUAAAUCUGGGUCCACUCAGUGUUAUGGGAGAGUUGAAAUCUAUCACAACAACAGCUGGGGAACAGUCUGUGAUGAUGACUGGAACUUAAAUGAUGCUGAGGUGGUCUGCAGACAGUUAGACUGUGGACCAGCACUGGAGGCCACUCGAUCAGCUCAGUUUGGUGAAGGAUCAGGUGAAAUCUGGCUCGACAAUGUGGCCUGUUCAGGAUGGGAGAGCUCUCUAAUUAUGUGUAACCACAGAGGAUUUGGGACGCACAACUGUGGACACGAUGAGGACGCUGGGGUCAUCUGUUCAGGAAUCAGAGUAGCUGGGUCCCAGUCAGUUCUUUGCUCCGGAAGAGUUGAAAUCUAUCACAAGAACAGCUGGGGAACAGUCUGUGACCACAGCUGGGACUUAAAUGAUGCUGAGGUGGUCUGCAGACAGUUAGACUGUGGACCAGCACUGGAGGCCACUCAGUCAUCUCACUUUGGUAAAGGAACAGGACAAAUCUGGCUUGAUGACGUGUCCUGUUCAGGACGUGAAAGUUCUCUAACUGAAUGUCAGCACGGAGGAUUUGGGACACAUAACUGUACUCACAGUAGGGAUGCUGGUGUCAUCUGUUCAGGUGCACCCAUCAGAUUAGCUGGUUCUGGGUCCACUCAGUGCUCUGGAAGAGUUGAAAUGUACUAUCAAAAAAGAUGGGGAACAGUCUGUGAUGAUGGCUGGGACUUAAAUGAUGCUGAGGUGGUCUGCAGGCAGUUAGACUGUGGGAUGGCACUGAGUGCUCUUCAGUCAGCUCACUUUGGUGAAGGAAAAGGAGACAUCCUGCUUGAUAAUGUGGCCUGUUCAGGGAAUGAAAGUUCUCUAACUGAGUGUCAGCACAGAGGAUUUCGGAUGCGCGACUGUAAGCAUCAUGAGGAUGCUGGCGUCAUCUGUUCAGGUAAGAUGCUUGUUAUCUCAUACACAGGGUUCAGUAACAAAGUGGUCCAUACAGCUGUAAUCCAGAGAGACUGUUUAUAUAUUUCAUAGUCCUUUUGCCUUCUCCUUGGUCUGUUUGAGCGCUCGUGUUGUCCUAGUGUAAAUUGUUCUCAGUGUUGUCAUACUUGAUGUUUGUUAAUUUUGUUUUCUCUUUUGAAUUUUUGCAACAGCAAGUCUUACUUUUUGGUAUUUGUUGUCCUUCUGUGUCUUGAAUUCUGUGUCACGAAACUACGUGACUACGUGUGUUCUGUUAGGAAUCAGAUUAGCUGGGUCCCAGUCAGCUCUGUGCUCUGGAAGAGUUUAAAUCUAUCACAAGAACAGCUGGGGAACAGUCUGUGAUGAUGGCUGGGAGAUAAAUGAUGCUGAGGUGGCCUGCAGAGAGUUAGACUGUGGAACAGCCCUGAAGGCCACUCGAACUUAUUUUGGUAAAGGAACAGACAGGAUCUGGCCUGAUGAUGUGUCCUGUUCAGGAAGCGAGAAAUCUCUUACCGAGUGUAAUCACAGAGGAUUUGGGAUACAGAACUGCACACAACAAAUGGAUGUUCAGGCGAGAUACUUUUAGAAUCCAUUUCAAAUUCUCAUUUUUUUUUUCAAAUUACUUCAUUAUCAAAUGUUUUUUUUUUUGGAAGGGGGGGGUUGUCAAUGUGUGUUUUGUGCUGAAAUUCAGGGUAAGCAAGGGACAUGAGGUCAUACAGUAUUGGGGUAAAAACAUGUUCCCCAGUGCUGCUGUAAUCCAAAGAGGAAUAUGUCUAUUGUUCAUCAUAGUUUCAAACUGCCAGUUGCUUUGCCUACAAACCACAGUGGGACCACUCGUUGCUCUGGAGGAGUUGAAAUCUACUAUCAAAAAAGUUGGGGAACAGGUUGUGAUGAUGGCUGGGACUUAAAUGAUGCUGAGGUGGUCUGCAGACAGUUAGACUGUGGAACAGCCCUGAAUGCCACUAAGUCAGCUCAUCCUGGUGAAGGAAGUGAGCCAAUCUGGCUUGAUGAUGUGUCCUGUUCAGGAAAUGAAAGUUCUCUAACUGAGUGUCAGCACAGAGCUGUAAAAAGGAGCUGUACACACCAUAACAAUGCUGGUGUCAUCUGUUCAGAUUCCACAGAUUCAAUAAUUCCAGUCCUGAGAUGUGUUUUCCUGCCACUGAUUCUGCUUUUGGAAAACAUUGCCCUUCAUUUCUACUAUA